rfam:Glycine max cultivar Williams 82 chromosome 10, whole genome shotgun sequence.
AGGUACAAUCAUAGAAUACUAAUAUACUAAAUUUCAUUAGAACUUCGCGGUUAAAUAUGUUUACACAAAAGUAGUACUAAAAUGAAUAACUUCCUAAAAAGUCCUUGGGUUGCACAUC